UACGUAGGGUGCAAGCGUUGUCCGGAAUUAUUGGGCGUAAAGAGCUCGUAGGCGGUCUGUCGCGUCGGCUGUGAAAACCCGGGGCUCAACCCCGGGCCUGCAGUCGAUACGGGCAGACUAGAGUGCGGUAGGGGAGAAUGGAAUUCCUGGUGUAGCGGUGAAAUGCGCAGAUAUCAGGAGGAACACCGGUGGCGAAGGCGGGUCUCUGGGCAGUAACUGACGCUGAGGAGCGAAAGCGUGGGGAGCGAACAGG
rnacentral:rRNA from 1 species